GUCAACACCGUCUUGGAUGGUCCCUUGACGUUUCUUAUAAUAGAAGAUUUGAUUGUAGGGUGUUCCAUUUCUUACCACAAUUAGUUAAUUUGUGAAGGAAUAGGAACCAUGCCAGCAGUUCGAGGAGAUGGCAUGCGUGGCUUGGCUGUUUUUAUAUCAGAUAUUAGAAAUUGUAAAAGUAAAGAAGCAGAAAUAAAAAGAAUUAAUAAGGAACUGGCAAAUAUACGAAGCAAAUUCAAAGGAGACAAAACUUUGGAUGGAUACCAGAAGAAAAAAUAUGUCUGCAAGUUAUUAUUUAUAUUUUUACUUGGCCAUGACAUUGAUUUUGGUCAUAUGGAAGCUGUGAAUCUUCUGUCAUCUAACAAAUACUCAGAAAAACAAAUUGUAAGAACUGUAUACACACAUAUUUAGAUAUUUACCAGAAAUAUCUUUUGGUGGAGAUUUCGAAAAGAAUAUUCAAACUGAAAACUGGUUUAUGCAACACUAUCUGAGAAAUAAAUCUAAUGACUUAUUUGUAAGGUAGUAUUGGAAACUGUCAUUGAAAUAAUGUAAAGAAA